rnacentral:rRNA from 1 species
GACGAACGCUGGCGGCGUGCCUAAUACAUGCAAGUAGAACGCACAGUUUAUACCGUAGCUUGCUACACCAUAGACUGUGAGUUGCGAACGGGUGAGUAACGCGUAGGUAACCUGCCUGGUAGCGGGGGAUAACUAUUGGAAACGAUAGCUAAUACCGCAUAAUAUUAAUUAUUGCAUGGUAAUUAAUUGAAAGGUGCAAUUGCACCACUACCAGAUGGACCUGCGUUGUAUUAGCUAGUAGGUGAGGUAACGGCUCACCUAGGCGACGAUACAUAGCCGACCUGAGAGGGUGAUCGGCCACACUGGGACUGAGACAAGGCCCAGACUCCUACGGGAGGCAGCAGUAGGGAAUCUUCGGCAAUGGACGAAAGUCUGACCGAGCAACGCCGCGUGAGUGAAGAAGGUUUUCGGAUCGUAAAGCUCUGUUGUAAGAGAAGAACGGGUGUGAGAGUGGAAAGUUCACACUGUGACGGUAUCUUACCAGAAAGGGACGGCUAACUACGUG